GGUAGGGAAGCCAUGCAGUAGGCGACUGUCUUUUAACCAGUAGAUAGCUCUUUAGAGCCCCUACUA
rnacentral:tRNA from 1 species